rnacentral:misc_RNA from 1 species
UUAAGAAAAAAAAUUUAUUAAGUCUUAUAUUUAGUAUAAAAAUAUAUACUUUUCACUGGGAUAAAUACAUUGCUCAAAUAGUGAUAUUGAAAUGGAAGGCCCAGCGGGUUCUAGCUUAGCCACCUCAGCUUCAUAAGGCCCACCUACGAUCCUCCUUUGUCAUUAGACAUGGAAUCUCAGGCAAUGAGUAAAUAUACAAAUUUUCGAAAAAAGAAAUCAUUAAAAUUGGCCUCCUUCAAAGGUCUGACCAAACUGCCAACCAGCAGGCACCACGUUGUAGCUCGUCACAGUUCUACCGUCACUGGUGGUGACUUGAAAGGAUAGGCUUUGACCGUUGAGAUAAGAG